UGGGCUGCUGCUGCCACCUGCUGGUGUUUAACGCUCACACACCGGCGCGCACCGCAAGCGGAGCGGCUUUUGGCUCAACUCGCAAGGUCACGUGACACUCUUUAUGCAGCCGCAAGGGGGCGCAAAGUCCCCGCUGCCUGCAAACAACAACAGCCACGCGAAUCAGGGAAAAACAAAAGAGGAACAACAAUCAUUUCAUGGAAGCGCCUGACGGACUGCACAAGUGCUCGCCUGUGCAACAUUUCAUUAGGCACCAAAUACGAAAACCUGCUGUCUUCACCUUAAACAACAAAACAAAACAAAUUUUGCGUGUGCACAAGUCUCACCUCUUUGACUUGAAAUGCAAGAUUUGUAAAGGUAAGAAAGACCAGAGUUUCGCUUACACUGAUUGAAAAUGAUGAAUGCUAUAUAAUGCAGAAAAUAUGGUCAAUCAUCAGGAAAAAGGAUUUUUUUUUUUUACAGGAUUUGUUUUGCUAGAUUGUGAUCGUUUAUAUAGUUUUUAAUGAAUGCUUGAUGUGACAUUUUAACAGGACGUAUGGCGCCCCCUGUGGAAGAACCAAGCACCAAGGUGGUGAAAGUGGCCACUACAGUGGUCAGGAGGCAGUCUACUGCAGAAGGAGAUGUGGCUCCCACACCUUCCAUGGGGACAGAGGAUGAACUCAGUGCUUUGGAAGGCAGCCUAAUGAAACCCGGGGUCUUAUCCAUCUCUGAUCACUUUCCAUGUUUCAUUCAUUCUUCUCAUUAUAUUUAAAUAUUUUAUUGUGGUUUUAGAAUGUUUGACUGGAUGAUAAAUUAAUAAACAUGGGCUGUCUGUUUUUUACAGACCAGAGAAUCUAGGCAGUAAAGAGGAUACAGCCACAUUUCUUGCCAGUUUGGACCAUCUGUGGAGAGGUUUUGUUGACAUGCCAGCCGUGGCCAAGCUCCUCACAAAAGCCUACCCACUUUCCGGGAAUUUGGACCGCUUGACCGAGGCUACGACCACCCUCAGGACAUGGAUGCGCUGGAUUCUCCACGUCUUCAACACGGAGGGCUUGAAAAGGAGCAGAUUGUUGGGAUCUGUGGACAAGUGGAAGUGGUGCAAGACAUCUUCCACUCUCUUCAGUAGCUCCAGUGGUUGUGGAAUUUUUAUCCUACAAUGCUCCCUGAUGUGUUGAUUUGUGGGAUUAGGUGGAGAAGUUCCACAGAAUGUAUAUGUAUCUUUCUACCUCUCUAGGUCACCUUGAUCAACCACAGAGAACGCUGCAGAUACAAACUGGCUGAAUGCACUGUAUGGUGAGUGAUGCUCUGAAACACACGAAGAAACACAUCGCCUCAUGCAGUUUUGCCACAUGUGCUUGUUGUACAGGCUGCGUGAAGCUCAUGUGUUGAUCAGGUUUCCAGGAAGUUGCCUCUGCUGCCACGUCCUCUGUUGUCUUCCAUGAAC
rnacentral:lncRNA from 1 species